UAGGAUAGCGCCAGGCCUUAAAUAUAAGGUGACGAGGAUUGAACUUAUCGAGUUUUCGGCGGAUGGUUCAAGGCAGUGUAAUCUUUAAAGUUAAUAAAAACCAAUGUGUAAAUGUUGGUACAGAGAUUAACUUA
rnacentral:ncRNA from 1 species